rnacentral:lncRNA from 1 species
GCAGAAAAAGGAAGCAAAUCGGCUCAAGGACGGCUAGACUCCGCGCCGGAGCACUUGAAUCGAUUUGACAGCGGCAGCGUCAUUGGCGUUUGAUAGCUUAGGUAGGGUUAGGGCUGGUGUGUGUGACUGAGUGAGUCGUUGUGAUUGUAAUUCGUGAAAAUUGAAGAAGAAGAUAAGGAAUGUGAGUGGUUAGGGAUUGCGCGUUACCUUGAUUCCUUUUAUCGGCUUUUUUUUUUUUUUAAGGCAAAUAACAUAUAACGAC